rnacentral:rRNA from 1 species
CCCACUUGGGGUGUUUCUAAUAAUGCAAGUCGAGCGAACAGAAAAGGAGCUUGCUCCUUUGACGUUAGCGGCGGACGGGUGAGUAACACGUGGGCAACCUACCCUAUAGUUUGGGAUAACUCCGGGAAACCGGGGCUAAUACCGAAUAAUCUCUUUUACUUCAUGGUGAAAGACUGAAAGACGGCAUCUCGCUGUCGCUAUAGGAUGGGCCCGCGGCGCAUUAGCUAGUUGGUGAGGUAACGGCUCACCAAGGCGACGAUGCGUAGCCGACCUGAGAGGGUGAUCGGCCACACUGGGACUGAGACACGGCCCAGACUCCUACGGGAGGCAGCAGUAGGGAAUCUUCCACAAUGGGCGAAAGCCUGAUGGAGCAACGCCGCGUGAGUGAAGAAGGUUUUCGGAUCGUAAAACUCUGUUGUAAGGGAAGAACAAGUACAGUAGUAACUGGCUGUACCUUGACGGUACCUUAUUAGAAAGCCACGGCUAACUACGUGCCAGCAGCCGCGGUAAUACGUAGGUGGCAAGCGUUGUCCGGAAUUAUUGGGCGUAAAGCGCGCGCAGGCGGUCCUUUAAGUCUGAUGUGAAAGCCCACGGCUCAACCGUGGAGGGUCAUUGGAAACUGGGGGACUUGAGUGCAGAAGAGGAAAGUGGAAUUCCAAGUGUAGCGGUGAAAUGCGUAGAGAUUUGGAGGAACACCAGUGGCGAAGGCGACUUUCUGGUCUGUAACUGACGCUGAGGCGCGAAAGCGUGGGGAGCAAACAGGAUUAGAUACCCUGGUAGUCCACGCCGUAAACGAUGAGUGCUAAGUGUUAGGGGGGGUUUCCGCCCCUUAGUGCUGCAGCUAACGCAUUUAGCACUCCCGCCUGGGGAGUACGGUCGCCAAGACUGAAAACUCAUAGGAUUUGACGGGGGGCCCGCACAAGCGGUGGAAUCAUGUGGUUUAAUUCGAAGGCAACGCUAAGAAUCCUACCCAGGUCUUGAUCAUUCCCCGUUGAGCACUUGUAGAGAUAAGUAUUCCCCCUUCGGUGGGCCAACGGUGACAUGCUGCUGUCUUGGUAGUCGUUCACCUUGUGUCGUAGAGAGUUCGAUAAAGUCCCGCCACCAGCUCCCACUCCUCGAAUCUUAGUCGCCUUUAUCUAUUUGGACACUCCUAGGACACUGCCGUGACAAUACCGAUAGAAGGGGGGUUGACGCUCAUCAUAGGUCCUAAUGACUGGGCUUCACGAGUGCAGGACUCAUAAUUG